AUCACAGAGUAAAGAAGGUGGAAAUAUCCUCGCACUGGAAAUUAGAUGAAGGAAUUAAUCAUAUUUAAUAAUGACAACAUGAUUUUUUGUACCAAACACUGUCAUCAGUAUCUUUGAUCAUAAUGAUUCAUUUCUCCAUCCUGAUUCAACAACUAACUAACCAACAGUAUUACCAGGUUUGGAGGAGUAGGCUACAUCACAUGGGGAGGAGUUUAAACCCACGAUUUGUCCACAAGUUGAUUUUGGGGUCUCUUGUGAUUUGCAUUAUGGGGAUUUAUUGUUUUACUACUCCAACACUUCACACCACAAACAGUGUUUCUUUGGCGUCGUGUGCUCAACCCAACAUCCACGUCUGGAAUAACUCUGCCACAGAAAAUGUUCAAUGCAAGCCAAAAGUCAACCUGAUGUUCAUGAAAACCCAUAAGACCGCCAGCAGCACUUUACUCAACAUUAUCUUCCGCUUUGGAGAAAAGAAUCAAUUAAAGUUUGCACUCCCAGACGGUCGGAAUGACUUUUCCUACCCGUCUAGUUUCUUUCGAAGUAAAGUGAAGAGCUAUCAGCCGGGUCAGUGUUAUAACAUUGUGUGCAAUCACAUGCGCUUCAAUGCACUGGAGGUAGAGAAGCUGCUCCCCGCUGAUGCGUUCUACUUCACCAUCCUAAGAGACCCUGCCAAGCUCUUCGAGUCAUCCUUUCACUACUACAAAGGUUACAUGCCUCAAACAUGGAGGAUACCUGGCCAAAACAAACUCAAAGAGUUUCUCACGAACCCAAAACGCUACUUCAAUGCCGAGGGAUUCAACAGCUUCUAUCUGAGGAACCUGCAGUUAUUUGACUUUGGCUUUGAGAAUAAUUUGGAAGCUGGCGAUCCACGAGUGCAGCAAAGUAUAGAAUACAUCGGCAAACGCUUUCAACUCGUUUUAAUUUCAGACCACUUCGAAGAGUCACUCAUUCUACUGAAAGAUGCCCUUUGCUGGCAGAUGGAGGACUUGCUGUUUUUUAAACUCAAUGCUAGAAGCACCGUGUCAGUAUCUCCUAUGAGCCCUGAGCUCAGGGACAAAGCUCGGGAAUGGAACGGCGCAGACUGGAAGCUUUACCGACAUUUUAAUGCCACUUUCUGGGCCCGGGUGGAGGCGUACGGAUGGAGGCGGAUGGAAGAAGAUGUGCGGGAGUUACGCAGGAGAAACGCAGAAAUGGAGGCCAUAUGCACUGACGGUCAGGGAGCGGUAGCACCAGAAGACAUCACAGACAAACGCAUGAAGCCCUGGGAGCCUAUUGGUGAAGCUACUAUACUAGGGUACAACCUGAGACCGGAUGUAGACCAGCAGUACAGUGAGCUCUGCCGGAAAAUGCUGACGCCUGAGAUUCAGUAUUUGACAGAUUUAGGAGUGAAUCUGUGGAUGACUAGAUUAUGGGGCUGGUUUACGGACAAUAUUUUAUCUCUCUAGAAGGGUCUUAGAAGGAAAGUAUUUUUUGUAAUUCAGUUUGGUGACCUCUUUGUAGUUUUGUUGUUUACCACAGUAUCAAUGCAGAAUGUGAUGUUUAGUGUUAAAGAUGAAUGAAAAUUCUGUUCAGUGUUAAUGUUUAACUUAAAUUGUAAAAUUGAGAUGUCAUAGGGAGGCAAUAAUGAUACAUUCCUGAAAUUGUAUAACACAAAACAGCAUAAUUGCGCUGCCUUUGCCAUAUAAUCGGUGAAGGGCAGUUCGUCUUCAAAGACUACAUCGAGAUUUCUGGAGUUUUGAAAGGAAUAAUGGUUGUGUUGCCAAUUUGAAUGGAUAGGUUGUGCUGUAGCACGGGUUGUGCCGGAAAUACAAGCAGCUUCGUCUUAGCAAGGUUUAACUGGAGGCGGUGUUUCUUCAUCCAAGCCAAGAUGUAAUGCGUGCUGCUAUGAUGGGAUCAUCAGGGUGAAAUGAAAAGAAGAUCUGUGUGUCAUCAGCAUAGCAGUGGUACAAGAAGCCAUGUGCCUGUAUGAUAGGUCCUAAGGAUGUUGUGUAGAUGGAGAAAAGGAGUGGACCAAGCACUGAUCCCUGCGGGACCCCAGUGACCAUCUAGUGAGCUGUGGACAGCGCACCCUUCUACGACACAGUGAAGGAUCUAUCGGAUAGAGAAAAGAUAUGAACCAUUGGAGAGAAGUACCUGUGAUCAUGUGGAUCUGCUGUGAAGGAAGUUUCAGAACUGAUAAGCAUUAUGGAGAGAGAGAGAGAGAGAGAGAGAGAGAGACUGUGUAUACUUUCUGUGACUAAAGCUGACUCUUGAGAAACGUACAAUAAUUCAAAUGUACAUGUAUUGAAAUGUUUAUGUGCAAAUGGCAAUAAAACUUGAAACAAUGUAUUUGGAAA